AUUUAUUUCACACUCCGGACCACUUAUUUUCGCUGCGCGAUCGCGUCGAGGCAAACGUCAGCUGUUAGCAACGUUGUUAGCUUUGUGAGCACCAGAAUCGCACAUUCAAUUUGUUUGUGGGGAUAUGGGUGAUGUUAAGAGUUAGUUUUUGGAUUAGAAAGAGCCUUAACAUUUUAAGCACUAACAAUAAUAAUAUCCAACAAAACUUUAUUUUAGUUAUUUUGAUAAUAGUAGUGUUUCAGCUUUGUACUUCCCCUCAUUAAACAUACCUGUACUUUGCUUGAUUGUUUGCAUGGAAACAAGAAGAUGAGGGAAUAAAGAGACCACGUGCAUCAUCUCUACACACCCAGCACCCAGGAAUGUCUGAUUUCUCUGUUCUGCAACCAGCGUUAUGCAUGCCCCUCUGAACUCAAAAAGAUCCUGGCUUCUGCAUCCAGCCCCAUUUGGUCCACAACUCUACCCCAGGCCCGCUCUCUCCCUCAGCCAAGUGGAGUCCCUACAAAACGUGGUGCACAACUGGAGACAGGACAACGAUUUCACCUGAUACCACGUGACGACGAGCUGAAGCACACGCAUUUUAAAAGUGAGUUUUUUAUUAGAGUAGCCUCU
rnacentral:lncRNA from 1 species